rnacentral:lncRNA from 1 species
AAUAUUAAAGUCUACUCCUAUGUCUAGCUAUGCUAAAAUUAAAGCAAUUAAAGUUGCCAAGAUUUGGAAAGAGCACCAAGGACUCUUCCAAAUACUUAGACUUUAUAAAAGGCCAUUUACAAACCAAACCUAAAGCUAAGACUAACAAUGACAGUGGGCUGACACAAGCCCAUCAAAUACAAAGAAAAAGAAAAAAAAAACAAACAAAAUAAACUCUGCAGAAAAAAUCACGACCCAAAUCUUACGGCCCACUAAGCUGCUACGGUCCAAUGCUGCCAACGUCCCGGUCCUGCUUGACUUCUGCUGCAGUAUGCUUCAUGCACCAAUUCUUCACAAUUUGGUUCACGUGCUCAAUGUUUUUGCUUCUUGACAAUUUUCUUGGAUCUGCUUUCAAUUUCCUGAUGCAUCUAAGUGAAUGUCCUUUGCUUUCAAAUUACAAUCUGCAGUCCGGAUAAUUCCAAAAUCAACAAUUCAUUCAGUGCAGCAAUCACAAUUACACAAGAACAGUUCAAUUAAAAC